UGGGAAGCAAAGAGGUUUGUUUUGGC
rnacentral:piRNA from 1 species